GGGCCUGUAGCUCAGUGGUAGAAUAUCUGCUUUGCAUGCAAAAGAUGCCAGGUUUAAUCCCUGGUAUCUCCA
rnacentral:tRNA from 1 species